CGAAGCAUUUUUCACCUUGAUGUGUAAGUACUCACAGGAGGUGUCAUAUAAAAAUCAUGCUGUAAAUGAACACUCUGAAGAUUUUAUUUGGAGGGAGAUUAUUAAGGUACUUGACACUGGAGGCAAGAGAGAAAGACAUUCUGGAGAAAAGGAAGAGCCUAGAGUUGAGGAGAGUGAAAGGCACCAAAUAUCCCAUUAGGGUGCUUACUCAGAUCAGCAAUUUAGCAUAAGAGGAUUUGGGGGCCAGAGAGACCUGGGUUCCAGUCCCACUAUUCUCGCUUAUUAUUUGUUUUAAAGUUAUAGUCAGACCUUUACUUAAAAAAACCAGUCUGCCAACUUAGCACUUUCCACCAACUCGAGGAGCAGAAAACUUUACAAGCUUCACAAUCUUUUGCUUAGGGACUGCAUUUGUGGGGGCCCUUGCAGCAGCCAUUGCUGUCUUUUUAGAUACUUGCAUAGCCUUUUUUGCUUCCUUGGCAGCCCUGAUAGCUUGUUUUCAUAGAGCCUUUCUAACCUCAGGUUUCUGAAAUAACGGUAGUGAUAUGAUAAUAAUAACUUGCUUUCCAAAUUAAACUAGAGCUGGCUCUGGGUGUCUUAGGGCCAAAGAUAAUACCCAGCUGCAGGUCUGUUGAGUAGAUGUGCCUAAAUUCACUGUAAGACAGUGAAUGGGUUACUUAACCUCAGAACAAUCUCUUACUUUCCUGUCUAUAAAUGAGAACAAGUGCUCAGAACUGAAUUGGGCCCAUAACCAAAUAAAUGCCUACACAAUCCUGGUAAGAGCAGCCACUGCCAGAGCUACAUGCUUACAUUAUACAAAGAGAAGUUGCCUUUUAAUAAAAGAGAUCAUUCUUCAUUUUAUUUUAUGCUAAACGCUCUCAUUCUUCUCCCGAUUAAAAAUGGCAGCUUCCAAAACACAAACAAGCCUGACAUCUGAGUUCAGGGGCUUUACCUUGACCAACAACUACCUUCCCUCAAAAGACCUUGAUUUCUUAGCCCCAGAGGCACAGAAACCUAACUUAGGGUUAACAAAGGGGAAGUGGGGGUGAGGGGGAUACAUCAGGAGACUCGUAUUAACAUUACACGCUAUUAUGUACCAAAGAGAUAACCAACAGGGACCUGCUGUACAGCACAGGGAACUACAGCCACUGUUUUGGGAUAACCCAUACGGGAAAAGGAUCUGAAAAGUUUUAUAUAUAUACAUAUACAUAUAUAAAACACUGAAUCACUUUGCUAUGCCCUGAAACUAACCCAACCUUGUAAAUAAACUAUACUUCAAUAAAACAAUUAUGUUUAAAAAAUUAGGUAGAGGUGCGGGGAAAAAAGUUGAUUUCUAUCUCAGAAAAUACAGAGAAGUUUCUGCUCUCACUUCUAAGAUGUCCAUGUAAUUGAAGAAACCCCUGUGGACUAGGCAAAGCCCGGGUCUGGCUGUUACAGACGUGAAAUCUUGGGUGAAAGGGGAGGAGCCCAGGGGAAAGGCAGGGUGCAAGGAGGUGCUUCUGACCGCAGCUGCCGCCUUGGAGCCCCAGGCAUGGGAAACAAAGGAACCCAGGAGGAACGGGAAGACGUGAACUGAAGACACACUGAAAAAGCUCCGAAGGUCUUGAGGAAAGCUGAGACUGACCUGAGGCCGAAAAGAGGUUGAACUUGCUAAGAAGGAAGAUGGGGUUGCUUUCACGUCUCCCGACACCUGCCCACACAAUAACUAAGAGAGGUCUGAAGGCUGCUGGACAGAAAGCCGGGGGACCGCGGCUGGCUCUGGCUUUCCCUCACCCCUGGUCUCAGAGCUCCCGGCGGUGAAUGCAAAGUACGGUCUACAAUCCCAAAGGUUCGAUUUCCAUGUCUGCCUGAUCUGGAGGGUACCUCCUCCCUCCUUUUACACCAGGGGACAUAAACUGCUAAUUCCACGUACUUGAGCAGCUAAUAUGUACUUUAGCUACCUAAAUCACGGUAAUUAGUACAGGCAUAUCAUGCAAACACACAAAUACACACGUAACUAUCCGCCCAUCUAUCUGCAUGUGUACUCACAUAAGCAUUUACAUUACACAUCUUUCACAACCUUUAAAAUUCUUCUUCAGCUAAGAUCCAUUGGUAAUUUCUCCAAUUAGCAGCACAGUGUUCGCAGCACAAGAAAUAUAAUGAAACACUAAAAGACAAUAAUCUUCUUCGGUGGAAGGCUUAAAAACAUCAGUCUAAUAGCAUAAAAACUGUAAUUCUGCAUCUUGCCGACAACGAUUUUUUAAAAUGAAAUUCCUAGCUUUUAGUAUCACCAAAAAUCAGUUCCAUUUCCUUUCUUUUUUCAGAAAAAUCAUCUUUCAUUAACUUGAGAUGAUGAUUUCCAUGUGAAUGAUAUUGUUUAUCUGCACUUUCCCCACACUUGACCUCAUUUCUUCUAAGAAAUAUGGAAUAUUGCUCUGGGCCUUUGAAAGGCAGGGCUGGAGGAAGUUUCUAUUAGAAUAAUCUCCACCUAAAGAGGUUUUAAGACUCACCUACCCAUUGACCCAUGAAGGGUAAAUGCUAAGUUCCUACAGUCAAAUAGUCAUUCUAACCCUUCAAAAUAGAUGCAUGAGUUGCCCCUUAUUUAAAUUACUCUAAGACGGAUAAAAUUUUUACCAUCAGAUGAAGGGUGAUCAUCACGACUCUACCAUCACCACACAAUGACAAAGACGACAAAGACGCUUGGCUUCACCCAAUCACUUCCUUUGUCGUGUGUGUGUGUGUGUGAGAGAGAGAGAGAGAAAUAACUAGCCACGUCUUUGCAACUGCAUGUCCAUGUUCAAGAUAUGUUUACCUAUAAACUAGGCAUUCAUGCAUUUUUUCGUAGACCUAGUAGUCUAGCAUCCUGGUGGACCCCAAAUUAGUGUUUCAUACGCUGAUCACUCCCUAUCAGAAGUGUGCUGUGGACCUCGCCAGAAGGGGGACUUCCUGGGAUUCUGCUCCCUGAUAACGGGCACCCGUGUCCAUUCUCUGUACUUGCUCACCUCUAGUCACCUGGGACCAACCACAGGGCACCACGUUGGAAGCAAACGUCUUUUGGUGACUCUCCAUUGUGCGCAUGUGCUUCACAGAAGGUUCUGAUCUACGACGGAUUUCAGCGGCAUGAGGCACCUUCCUAGCUUAUAGAAACUAGAGAUGAAUUAUUUCUGAGGCUCGGUCCUUGAAGAGGCGACGUGCGAUGAAAAGAAACUAAUCUAGGAAGAGAGAUGAACUGACAUCACACCCGGUUUGCCCUCAAUUUCUACCCCAUUUGUGAGUUGACUCGGGAGGGAGCCAACCCAACAGAAGCCCUGAUUUUACCUUGACUCACUUAAGCUCUCAUUUCCUUUAAUCUCGAGAAGACAAAUCUUCUAUCCCAACAACUAUUCUUCUCACCUUGAAUAUUCUCCCCCUUCAAUUCUGACUGAAGAGAAAACACGAGGUUUGUUUUCUCCUUAAAGGGCCGCCUCAAGUAGAAGCCUGGAUUGAUGCAGCCGUGAAUUCCGAGACAGCAACAUCAACCCCGGGGUAAGACUUCUCGAUGGUGGUGGUGGUGGUGAAAAGUCCUAGGAAGUUUCACCUUCUCAGUUCACUUGGGGGCUCUCUUUUCUAUUCCUGCUGCUUAAAAAGUUAAAUUAAAUCAAAACUAAGCAGAGAGCACUUGGUCUCUGCUUUCGUUGUUUUGCAAACAAGGUAAUACAGUUUCACAGAAUGAGAACCAAGAGACACUUUCUUGAAUUUAAACUCAAAACACUGAUAUACUUCAAAAGUUUUCCACAUGUUUCUUCCUAUUUCUUGUGUUUCUUUGUAAUUUA
rnacentral:lncRNA from 1 species